UGAAGGCUUGACCUCAAAUCAGGUAGGACUACCCGCUGAACUUAAGCAUAUCAAUAGCCGGAAGGAAAGCACCCUAGCAGA
rnacentral:rRNA from 1 species